rnacentral:rRNA from 1 species
CAGGACGAACGCUGGCGGCGUGCCUAAUACAUGCAAGUCGUACGCUUCUUUUUCCACCGGAGCUUGCUCCACCGGAAAAAGAGGAGUGGCGAACGGGUGAGUAACACGUGGGUAACCUGCCCAUCAGAAGGGGAUAACACUUGGAAACAGGUGCUAAUACCGUAUAACAAUCGAAACCGCAUGGUUUUGAUUUGAAAGGCGCUUUCGGGUGUCGCUGAUGGAUGGACCCGCGGUGCAUUAGCUAGUUGGUGAGGUAACGGCUCACCAAGGCCACGAUGCAUAGCCGACCUGAGAGGGUGAUCGGCCACAUUGGGACUGAGACACGGCCCAAACUCCUACGGGAGGCAGCAGUAGGGAAUCUUCGGCAAUGGACGAAAGUCUGACCGAGCAACGCCGCGUGAGUGAAGAAGGUUUUCGGAUCGUAAAACUCUGUUGUUAGAGAAGAACAAGGAUGAGAGUAACUGUUCAUCCCUUGACGGUAUCUAACCAGAAAGCCACGGCUAACUACGUGCCAGCAGCCGCGGUAAUACGUAGGUGGCAAGCGUUGUCCGGAUUUAUUGGGCGUAAAGCGAGCGCAGGCGGUUUCUUAAGUCUGAUGUGAAAGCCCCCGGCUCAACCGGGGAGGGUCAUUGGAAACUGGGAGACUUGAGUGCAGAAGAGGAGAGUGGAAUUCCAUGUGUAGCGGUGAAAUGCGUAGAUAUAUGGAGGAACACCAGUGGCGAAGGCGGCUCUCUGGUCUGUAACUGACGCUGAGGCUCGA